UGUUUCUAUUUUUGCCUGCUAGGCCUUGGCCCGGUUUGGAAUAUACUCCCUCCGCUCCGAUCCGAAAUUGUUCACGCAAUGACGCGACGGUCUUUUUACGAAAAUCCCCUUCAUUUUCUUUCUCUUCGGCUCUCCCUUCUCCGCCGCUCUCCCUCUCGCCUCCUCACCCGCGCUCCCCUCGAUUCUGCUACGCUCCACCUUCUCUUUGCCUCCGCCGCGCUCCCCUCUGUUCUCCGCUUUUCUCCCACCAGAAAAGGGCGCCUCCUUUUUGUCCAAGAAGUGGAUCUCGCCGGAUCCGGUGGCUUCAGGCGCGCCGGCGUAGGAGCUUGAGGAGUACUCCGCCGCAGCCCGAGGAUCGAGGAGAAGCAGGAGCGAGAAGAAGAGGAGCAGGAGCGGCUCAAGGCGGCGGCGCGACUAAGAGCAGCAGCAGCGGCUCAAGGAGUGGAGCAUAUCUGGAAUCCAUAUCAAGAUAACUGCUGUACUCUACUCCUAGGUUACUCUGUUGAGGUUUGCUGAUUGUUGUACUCCUCCUAAGUUUCUGUAUAGCAUGAGUUUCUGUAUAUGGAGUAUCUUUGCUGAUUGCUACGAGAAUCUGCUAGGAAUGCUUUGCUGAUUGAUGUAAGUUUGUGCCUUGAGAUGUGAUUUUGCUUUUAGUAUUCUGAAUGCAAAAGCCUUUAGAUUAGGGCUUUUCAGUA